rnacentral:rRNA from 1 species
UACGAAGGGGGCUAGCGUUGUUCGGAAUUACUGGGCGUAAAGCGCGCGCAGGCGGUCCUUCAAGUCAGAGGUGAAAGCCCAGAGCUCAACUCUGGAACGGCCUUUGAGACUAGAGGACUUGGAUACGGGAGAGGUGAGUGGAAUUCCGAGUGUAGAGGUGAAAUUCGUAGAUAUUCGGAAGAACACCAGUGGCGAAGGCGGCUCACUGGCCCGUUACCGACGCUCAGGCGCGACAGCGUGGGGAGCAAACAGG